AUGUAUUGCAAGACAGGAACUUGGACCAUGAUAUCUAUGGUUGUCAUCUCCAGCUUCGGGAAGAUGUCUCACUCUUCAGCAGCAAGAGUUGAAGGUCCCAGCAUGGGUGAUAAUGUUCUUCCCUUUGCCUCACUCUGGCUUUGCAGUUUGAAAUUUAAUCUUUGUUUUUACAAAGUUUGUUACAUCGGAGAAAAAAGAGAUUUUCCAAGAAGAGAGGACAUUCUUAAGGAAGAGUACCAAAGAGGAUGGAGCCAAAGAGAUGGAACUAUGGAGAGGUGCAGAAGGGGCUGUGUGUUGAGGUAA
rnacentral:lncRNA from 1 species